GACGAACGCUGGCGGAAUGCUUAAUACAUGCAAGUCGAACGAAGAGGCCUUUUCGGAGGUACUUCAGUGGCGGACGGGUGAGUAACGCGUUGAUAACAUGCCUUUCACUGGGGGAUAACAUCUGGAAACGGGUGCUAAUACCGCAUAUGUCGUAGUUUGUGAUGAUUACGAUGAAAGAUUUAUUGGUGAGAGAUUGGUCUGCGUGAGAUUAGUUAGUUGGUGAGGUAAUGGCUCCCCAAGGCGAUGAUCUCUAGUUGGUCUGAGAGGAUGGCCAGCCACAGUGGGACUGAGACACGGCCCACACUCCUACGGGAGGCAGCAGUAGGGAAUAUUGCGCAAUGGGCGGAAGCCUGACGCAGCAAUUCCGCGUGGCGGAUGACGGAUUUCGGUCUGUAAACGCCUGUCAGCAGGGAAGUACAUGACGGUACCUGCAGAGGAAGCACCGGCUAACUACG
rnacentral:rRNA from 1 species